UUUGCGUUAGCCGGAAGGUGAGAGGGAC
rnacentral:sRNA from 1 species